UAAUAGGCGUCUUUCAAUUCA
ensembl:piRNA 21ur-174 ncRNA